rnacentral:rRNA from 1 species
AGGUUAACCGAAUAGGGGAGCCGAAGGGAAACCGAGUCUUAACCGGGCGUUAAGUUGCAGGGUAUAGACCCGAAACCCGGUGAUCUAGCCAUGGGCAGGUUGAAGGUUGGGUAACACUAACUGGAGGACCGAACCGACUAAUGUUGAAAAAUUAGCGGAUGACUUGUGGCUGGGGGUGAAAGGCCAAUCAAACCGGGAGAUAGCUGGUUCUCCCCGAAAGCUAUUUAGGUAGCGCCUCGUGAAUUCAUCUCCGGGGGUAGAGCACUGUUUCGGCAAGGGGGUCAUCCCGACUUACCAACCCGAUGCAAACUGCGAAUACCGGAGAAUGUUAUCACGGGAGACACACGGCGGGUGCUAACGUCCGUCGUGAAGAGGGAAACAACCCAGACCGCCAGCUAAGGUCCCAAAGUCAUGGUUAAGUGGGAAACGAUGUGGGAAGGCCCAGACAGCCAGGAUGUUGGCUUAGAAGCAGCCAUCAUUUAAAGAAAGCGUAAUAGCUCACUGGUCGAGUCGGCCUGCGCGGAAGAUGUAACGGGGCUAAACCAUGCACCGAAGCUGCGGCAGCGACACUGUGUGUUGUUGGGUAGGGGAGCGUUCUGUAAGCCUGUGAAGGUGUGCUGUGAGGCAUGCUGGAGGUAUCAGAAGUGCGAAUGCUGACAUAAGUAACGAUAAAGCGGGUGAAAAGCCCGCUCGCCGGAAGACCAAGGGUUCCUGUCCAACGUUAAUCGGGGCAGGGUGAGUCGACCCCUAAGGCGAGGCCGAAAGGCGUAGUCGAUGGGAAACAGGUUAAUAUUCCUGUACUUGGUGUUACUGCGAAGGGGGGACGGAGAAGGCUAUGUUGGCCGGGCAACGGUUGUCCCGGUUUAAGCGUGUAGGCUGGUUUUCCAGGCAAAUCCGGAAAAUCAAGGCUGAGGCGUGAUGACGAGGCACUACGGUGCUGAAGCAACAAAUGCCCUGCUUCCAGGAAAAGCCUCUAAGCAUCAGGUAACAUCAAAUCGUACCCCAAACCGACACAGGUGGUCAGGUAGAGAAUACCAAGGCGCUUGAGAGAACUCGGGUGAAGGAACUAGGCAAAAUGGUGCCGUAACUUCGGGAGAAGGCACGCUGAUAUGUAGGUGAAGUCCCUCGCGGAUGGAGCUGAAAUCAGUCGAAGAUACCAGCUGGCUGCAACUGUUUAUUAAAAACACAGCACUGUGCAAACACGAAAGUGGACGUAUACGGUGUGACGCCUGCCCGGUGCCGGAAGGUUAAUUGAUGGGGUCAGCGCAAGCGAAGCUCUUGAUCGAAGCCCCGGUAAACGGCGGCCGUAACUAUAACGGUCCUAAAGGUAGCGAAAUUCCUUGUCGGGUAAGUUCCGACCUGCACGAAUGGCGUAAUGAUGGCCAGGCUGUCUCCACCCGAGACUCAGUGAAAUUGAACUCGCUGUGAAGAUGCAGUGUACCCGCGGCAGACGGAAAGACCCCGUGAACCUUUACUAUAGCUUGACACUGAACAUUGAGCCUUGAUGUGUAGGAUAGGUGGGAGGCUUUGAAGUGUGGACGCCAGUCUGCAUGGAGCCGACCUUGAAAUACCACCCUUUAAUGUUUGAUGUUCUAACGUGGACCCGUGAUCCGGGUUGCGGACAGUGUCUGGUGGGUAGUUUGACUGGGGCGGUCUCCUCCUAAAGAGUAACGGAGGAGCACGAAGGUUGGCUAAUCCUGGUCGGACAUCAGGAGGUUAGUGCAAUGGCAUAAGCCAGCUUGACUGCGAGCGUGACGGCGCGAGCAGGUGCGAAAGCAGGUCAUAGUGAUCCGGUGGUUCUGAAUGGAAGGGCCAUCGCUCAACGGAUAAAAGGUACUCCGGGGAUAACAGGCUGAUACCGCCCAAGAGUUCAUAUCGACGGCGGUGUUUGGCACCUCGAUGUCGGCUCAUCACAUCCUGGGGCUGAAGUAGGUCCCAAGGGUAUGGCUGUUCGCCAUUUAAAGUGGUACGCGAGCUGGGUUUAGAACGUCGUGAGACAGUUCGGUCCCUAUCUGCCGUGGGCGCUGGAGAACUGAGGGGGGCUGCUCCUAGUACGAGAGGACCGGAGUGGACGCAUCACUGGUGUUCGGGUUGUCAUGCCAAUGGCACUGCCCGGUAGCUAAAUGCGGAAGAGAUAAGUGCUGAAAGCAUCUAAGCACGAAACUUGCCCCGAGAUGAGUUCU